UACAGAGGGGGCAAGCGUUGUUCGGAAUUACUGGGCGUAAAGGGCGCGUAGGCGGCCUGUUAAGUCGGACGUGAAAUCCCUCGGCUCAACCGGGGAACUGCGUCCGAUACUGGCGGGCUUGAAUUCGGGAGAGGGAUGUGGAAUUCCAGGUGUAGCGGUGAAAUGCGUAGAUAUCUGGAGGAACACCGGUGGCGAAGGCGGCAUCCUGGACCGACAUUGACGCUGAGGCGCGAAAGCCAGGGGAGCAAACGGG
rnacentral:rRNA from 2 species